AUUUUAAGUGAUAUAAAAUAACACUUUUAAUGUUGGGGUCCUGGGUUCGAGCCCCAGGCGGA
rnacentral:tRNA from 1 species